rnacentral:sRNA from 1 species
AUGGCUGUCGUCAGCUCGUGUCGUGAGAUGUUGGUUUAAGUACCGCAACGAGCGCAACCCCUGUGUCCUGUUGCCACGGAGAACACGUUUCUCCAGCACUCUGGACAGACUGCCCCAUUUUUAGUGGGGAGGAAGGUGGGGAUGACGUCAAGUCAGUAUGGCCCUUACGCCCAGGGCUGCACACGUGCUACAAUGCCUAGUACAAUGGGAAGCAAGACCGCGAGGUGGAGCCAAUCCCCAAAACUGGGCCCAGUUCGGAUUGGAGUCUGCAACUCGACUCCAUGAAGUUGGAAUCGCUAGUAACGGCGCAUCAGCUACGGCGCCGUGAAUACGUUCCCAGGCCUUGUACACACCGCCCGUCACAUCAUGAAAGCCGGGAGCACCCGAAGUCCGCGAUCACGUGGCCGAAGGUGAAUUUGGUAAUUGGGAUGAAGUCGUAACAAGGUAGCCGUAGGGGAACCUGCGGCUGGAUCACCUCCUUUCUAGGGAGUACUGCAUUCGUUUGCUUGCAAACGGAUCAGGAAGGUCGAACAUUUCCGAUAUAUUUAUAUAAAGGAAAUGCUGGCUGACGCUAUUGCACAAUUCAGUUUUUAAGGACAAAUAUAUGUUCUUUUGACAGGCAAACGGAUGAGGAAGACGAGCUUAUUUUGGCUUGGGACUUGGGGCUGUAGCUCAGCUGGUAGAGCACCUGCUUUGCAAGCAGGAAGUCAGGAGUUCGAAUCUCCUCAGCUCCACCAACUAAUAAACGGGCCUGUAGCUCAGUUGGUUAGAGCACGCGCUUGAUAAGCGCGGGGUCGCUGGUUCGAGUCCAGCCUGGCCCACCAUCCUUUUGCAUUUGAAUUUUGGCGGGGCUGCUUAUGAGGCGGCUCGGUCGUGGUUCUUUGAAAUCCUUGCAUGGACAUCAAGCCAUGCAACUUUGUUGGCGCCAUUAGAGUAUAUUUAAUGGUAACAAAUAAUAAUACAUUUGAUAAGCUACUAAGGGCACAAGGUGAAUGCCUUGGUGCUAGGAGGCGAUGAAGGACGUGGCUACCUGCGAUAAGCCAUCGGGAAGCUGGACACAAGCGUUAUACCCGUGGAUUUCCGAAUGGGGAAACCCGG